rnacentral:pre_miRNA from 1 species
AGAGCGUGGUCCAGGUGUGCACAGAAUGCAGUUCAGGUGUGCACUCCCAGCCCAUGCUCUCU